UUGGGAAUAUUGCGCAAUGGGCGAAAGCCUGACGCAGCGAUGCCGCGUGUGUGAAGAAGGCCUUAGGGUUGUAAAGCACUUUCAGUCGCGAAGAAAAGCCAGUGGUUAAUAACCUCUGGUCUUGACGUUAUCGACAGAAGAAGUACCGGCUAACUCCGUGCCAGCAGCCGCGGUAAUACGGAGGGUACGAACGUUAAUCGGAAUUACUGGGCGUAAAGCGCGCGUAGGCGGUUUUGUAAGUGGGAUGUGAAAGCCCCGGGCUCAACCUGGGAACUGCAUUCCAAACUGCAAAACUAGAGUAUGGUAGAGGGAGGUAGAAUUUCCUGUGUAGCGGUGAAAUGCGUAGAUAU
rnacentral:rRNA from 1 species